rnacentral:misc_RNA from 1 species
AACGCACAUUGCGCCUGGCAGUAUUCUGCCAGGCAUGCCUGUCCGAGCGUCAUUUCACCACUCAAGCUCUGCUUGGUGUUGGAGGACCCGCGUUUAGUCGCGGGCCGCCGAAAUGCAUCGGCUGUUGUAUAUACAGCUUCCCUGUGUAGUAAAUGCUUAGCUUUACACUUUGAAACUUUUAUAUAACAUGCCGGAAAACCCUCAACUUUUGAAAGGUUGACCUCGGAUCAGGUAGGAAUACCCGCUGAACUUAA